rnacentral:rRNA from 1 species
GACGAACGCUGGCGGCGUGCUUAACACAUGCAAGUCGAACGGAAAGACCCUGCUUUUGUGGGGUUCUCGAGUGGCGAACGGGUGAGUAACACGUGAGUAACCUGCCCUUGACUUUGGGAUAACUUCAGGAAACUGGGGCUAAUACCGGAUAGGAGCUCCUGCUGCAUGGUGUGGGUUGGAAAGUUUCGGCGGUUGGGGAUGGACUCGCGGCUUAUCCGCUUGUUGGUGGGGUAGUGGCUUACCAAGGCUUUGACGGGUAGCCGGCCUGAGAGGGUGACCGGCCACAUUGGGACUGAGAUACGGCCCAGACUCCUACGGGAGGCAGCAGUGGGGAAUAUUGCACAAUGGGCGGAAGCCUGAUGCAGCAACGCCGCGUGCGGGAUGACGGCCUUCGGGUUGUAAACCGCUUUCGCCUGUGACGAAGCGUGAGUGACGGUAAUGGGUAAAGAAGCACCGGCUAACUACGUG